AGACAAACUGUCUUAGUAAGUAUUUAUUUUAAGUUUUAUAAUUUUUAAUACAUUACAAAUACAUUAAUAUUUUAUUAUUUGUUUACAUUAAUACAUUAAUAUUUUAUUAUUUGUUUUUAGAGCUUAUAUAUGAAGCUUAUAGGUCAUUUCGAACUUAAAAUUAAAAUCAUUUACUAAAAGCCAAGACAGAGUAGUUACUAUGUUUCAAAACAUUUUUAUUUUUUAUUUUUUUUAUUAGGUUGGUGGGUUAAAUAUGAUCAUUUAAAUGAGAAAAUGUAUACAAGUGCAACUUGUGAUCUGGGUGUUAUAACAUCAUAACAACAUCUAUGGCUAACUCUAAGAUCACCUUAUUUUGUUUGGCAGUGUUUUGGAAUCAAGUUAUGGCAAUAUUUUGUGUAUAAAAUAUAACAAUUACAUUAAAAAAGUGCUUAUUUCUGAAAAAA